rnacentral:tRNA from 1 species
GCACCUGUAGCUCAGCUGGAUAGAGCACAAGAUUCCGAUUCUUGGUGCCGCAGGUUCGACUCCUGUCAGGUGCGCCA